rnacentral:rRNA from 1 species
UAGAGUGGCGUCCGGGUGAGUAACACGUGGGUAAUCUACCCUUUUUGGUGGGGAAUAACGCUGGGAAACCGGCGCUAAUACCGCAUAAGCUCGAAAGAGGAAAGGAGCAAUUCGCCGAAAGAGGAGCCCGCGGCUGAUUAGCUAGUUGGUGGGGUAAUGGCCUACCAAGGCUGCGAUGGGUAGCUGGUCUGAGAGGACGAUCAGCCACACUGGGACUGAGACACGGCCCAG